GCGUUGAUGUUGCUAGAGUUUCGCCCUGACCUCGCUCAAGCCUAAAUUGCAGAACCAACAUCGCUGGAGUUUCGCUGGGCAGUCGCUCGAGCGAAGGUGCGUCGCUCGAGUUACCCCAGCACCUCGCUCGAGCGACCGUGUUAUCUGGCCAUUGUUAAUUUUAAUUUCUCGCGAAUUUUUAACACUCCAUAUUUCCAAA
rnacentral:lncRNA from 1 species